rnacentral:rRNA from 1 species
AUUGAACGCUGGCGGCAUGCUUUACACAUGCAAGUCGAACGGCAGCACGGGCUUCGGCCUGGUGGCGAGUGGCGAACGGGUGAGUAAUAUAUCGGAACGUACCCAGAAGUGGGGGAUAACGUAGCGAAAGUUACGCUAAUACCGCAUACGAUCUAUGGAUGAAAGCAGGGGACCGCAAGGCCUUGUGCUCCUGGAGCGGCCGAUAUCUGAUUAGCUAGUUGGUGAGGUAAAGGCUCACCAAGGCGACGAUCAGUAGCUGGUCUGAGAGGACGACCAGCCACACUGGAACUGAGACACGGUCCAGACUCCUACGGGAGGCAGCAGUGGGGAAUUUUGGACAAUGGGCGCAAGCCUGAUCCAGCAAUGCCGCGUGAGUGAAGAAGGCCUUCGGGUUGUAAAGCUCUUUUGUCGGGGAAGAAACGGUAGAGGCUAAUAUCCUUUGCUAAUGACGGUACCUGAAGAAUAAGCACCGGCUAACUACGUG